rnacentral:misc_RNA from 1 species
CUCCCGCCAUUUCCUCGCUCUCUCUGUUCUCUUUCUCCUCCCUCCCUCCUUCUCUUGCGCUGUCUUUCCCACACUUCUAAACCUCAUCGCUCCAUCCUCCACUCUCAACUCCAAAAUCCUCCUCUCGACUUCUAUCUUCCUCGAUCAAGGCCCGUCUAAUCAUUUCACUAUUAAUGCCCUUGUUUUCUCUCUCCUAUUCUCGCUCUUUGUCUUUGUUUUCGCUCCCCUUGCUGUUGGUUCCAUCACCUAUAGCGUUCUCCAUGGCUUCUAUGGUAGACCUGUCAAGCUCCUAGCCGCUAUCAAAUCUGCUUUUACUUCUUUCCUUCCCUUGUUAGUCACUACCAUUUUUGCUCAAAUUAUUGUGUUUGCGAUGUUUCUCAUUUCUGGGUUUUUCCUGUUUUUGGUAUUUAUGGCCAUUCAGCUGUUGGGGUUUCAAGUCGAGAUCUCUUCUCCCUAUUUUAUUGGGUUCUCUGGGGUUGUUUCGAUUGUUUUGUUAUUGGUUAUAGUGUAUUUGCAACUUAAUUGGUCUCUAGUAGGAGUCGCUUGUGGUAGCGGAAUCGAGUUGGGGGCUUGAGCCAUUGAAGCGGAGUAGUUAUCUCAUAAAGGGAAUGAGAGGAGUGGCUCUGGCUUUAUUGUUGUUUUUUGGGUUCUUGGUGUGUAUUUUGUUAAUCAUUAGCUCUGUAUCAGGGGUGACACUGGGUAUUGGCACUAGCAAUGGAUGGAAGAGUUGUGCAUUUGUUAUCCAAAUUGUGGUAACUACAACACUGCUAAUGCUGUUGCUCCUUUACGAUGUUGCUGCAAAUACUGUUCUGUAUAUGUAUUGCAAG